rnacentral:rRNA from 2 species
AAAUUGAAGAGUUUGAUCAUGGCUCAGAUUGAACGCUGGCGGCAGGCCUAACACAUGCAAGUCGAACGGUAGCACAGAGAGCUUGCUCUCGGGUGACGAGUGGCGGACGGGUGAGUAAUGUCUGGGAAACUGCCUGAUGGAGGGGGAUAAC